CCUGCUUUUGUGGGGUGCUCGAGUGGCGAACGGGUGAGUAACACGUGAGUAACCUGCCCUUGACUUUGGGAUAACUUCAGGAAACUGGGGCUAAUACCGGAUAGGAGCUCCUGCUGCAUGGUGGGGGUUGGAAAGUUUCGGCGGUUGGGGAUGGACUCGCGGCUUAUCAGCUUGUUGGUGGGGUAGUGGCUUACCAAGGCUUUGACGGGUAGCCGGCCUGAGAGGGUGACCGGCCACAUUGGGACUGAGAUACGGCCCAGACUCCUACGGGAGGCAGCAGUGGGGAAUAUUGCACAAUGGGCGGAAGCCUGAUGCAGCAACGCCGCGUGCGGGAUGACGGCCUUCGGGUUGUAAACCGCUUUCGCCUGUGACGAAGCGUGAGUGACGGUAAUGGGUAAAGAAGCACCGGCUAACUACGUGCCAGCAGCCGCGGUGAUACGUAGGGUGCGAGCGUUGUCCGGAUUUAUUGGGCGUAAAGGGCUCGUAGGUGGUUGAUCGCGUCGGAAGUGUAAUCUUGGGGCUUAACCCUGAGCGUGCUUUCGAUACGGGUUGACUUGAGGAAGGUAGGGGAGAAUGGAAUUCCUGGUGGAGCGGUGGAAUGCGCAGAUAUCAGGAGGAACACCAGUGGCGAAGGCGGUUCUCUGGGCCUUUCCUGACGCUGAGGAGCGAAAGCGUGGGGAGCGAACAGGCUUAGAUACC
rnacentral:rRNA from 1 species